rnacentral:rRNA from 1 species
ACGCUGGCGGCGUGCCUAAUACAUGCAAGUUGAACGCAACAAAGACACCAGAGCUUGCUCUACCGUCUUUGUUGAGUAGCGAACGGGUGAGUAACGCGUGGGUAACCUGCCUUAUAGCGGGGAUAACUAUUGGAAACGAUAGCUAAUACCGCAUAACAAUAGAGAUUGCAUAAUCUUUAUUUGAAAGUGCCAACUGGUACACUAUGAGAUGGACCCGCGUUGUAUUAGCUAGUUGGUAGUGUAAUGGACUGCCAAGGCGAUGAUACAUAGCCGACCUGAGAGGGUGAUCGGCCACAUUGGGACUGAGACACGGCCCAAACUCCUACGGGAGGCAGCAGUAGGGAAUCUUCGGCAAUGGACGAAAGUCUGACCGAGCAACGCCGCGUGAGUGAAGAAGGUUUUCGGAUCGUAAAACUCUGUUGUUAGAGAAGAAUGUUGAUUAGAGUGGAAAAUUAAUCAAGUGACGGUAUCUAACCAGAAAGGGACGGCUAACUACGUG